UACGUAGGUGGCAAGCGUUGUCCGGAUUUAUUGGGUUUAAAGGGUGCGUAGGCGGUCCUAUAAGUCAGUUGUGAAAUCCGGCAGCUUAACUGUCGAGGUGCAAUUGAUACUGCAGGACUUGAGUACAGACGAGGUAGGCGGAAUUGACGGUGUAGCGGUGAAAUGCUUAGAUAUCGGCAAGAACACCGAUAGCGAAGGCAGCUUACUGGGCUGUAACUGACGCUGAGGCACGAAAGUGUGGGGAGCAAACAGG
rnacentral:rRNA from 1 species